CAAAAAUGAGGACACCUUAUAUGUUAUAUUUUUCUUAUAUGUUAGAAUUUUCUUAUUGAAUUUUUUUAAAACGACUUUAAAUUACAAAAAUGUAAGUUUAAGUAAUAUUUACGACAGAUUCUAAAACGCUGCAAAGACGCUCAUCUAAGCGCUAUCCGGUAGGUUACAUGGCGUUUUGACGUAUUCGGGCAACAAAUCAGGAAUAUCAAUGUAAUCCAUUUUCCAUGUUUUAGGUUUUGAUAGUUUGGAUUCGAGUGUUUGGUUAUGCUUCUUUUAAAACUGUGUAAAAAACAAAGAUAAUCGACAAGAAUCAAUGAAAAAAAAAAAGCUGCGACAGCAGAUAAUUUAGGUUAGAAAAAUCGCAGGAUUUAGGUAGGGGACGGAGCUAAUUUGGUAAAUUACUAAUUCAUUAAACAAAAGCAAAAAACAAAAAAAAGUAGGAGAUCGAACCCUCGUGAAGGGGAGGCAAAUAUAACAUGUGAAACCACUAAACCAAGAAAUAUAUGUUUGAUGGUGCACUUCUUUAUAUAUAAAAGAAGCUUUGCUUCUCUCCUAGCGUGUCCAUGUAGACGGACACGUCACUAAUUCGCCUCAUGUCGUCACGCCACGUGUCCGUGCAAAUGAAACUCAUCGUUUCAUUUAAGUUUGUUAUCGCGUGGGCUUUUGACCGAAACUAUGCUAUUGGGCUUAAUUUAGAGAGUGUUGUCGGCCCAGCCAGGCAUACUUCUCGCUAACCUAAUCCGGAAAACAUGUUUGUUCUUCGUUUCUGUUUGUUCGGCGGCUACGGUGAUGAUCGAGUUUCCUUGCUGUCUCGAAACGGAUUGCGUUAUGAGUUCUAUGUGUUUAAUCCCAUUAAAGAUGGUGACGAUCGAGCUUCCUCAUGGUAUUGCGUCGGCAAUGCGGUGAUCUUUAAGGUAUAAAUAUGUCAGCAUUUCUCUUCUGGAAAUUGCGUUCUCUUCAUUCAUCUUCUAUUCAUAAGGCGUGGGAAGGUUUCACGACGGCGGCAGACGCUGAUCUGAUCGCUGAGCAGCAGAUGUGGGCUGCGGUUGAUCCUUAGGCCAAGAACGAAUGUUGCUUUGUCUUCUGUUAUUGUUGUUUCAGAAUGAAUGUUGUAUGCCGCCAGAGACAUGUAACAUGGAUGAUGGUUGCCUAAAUGCGACGUUUGGAGGGAUAACAUGAAAUUAUAAACCAUUUGAUUCUUGAUUUUCUCGAUACAUGCUAGAUUGAAGCCUGUUUGUCUGGAUAUUUUUGUUCUAACUUUCCCAAGGAGUUUCUGAUUCAGAAAAUGGAGACCGUAAAGAGUACAAGGAGCAUGCUGAUAAUUUCAUGGAGAUUAUCAACCUUCUCCAAGACGAGAUUUAAACACCUUCCUCUAGCUUCUUUAUAAGGCUUAGAAGAUUGGGUACAUAUAAGUCCGAGAAGCUAAGAACUAUGGCCCUACUUAACAUGUGAUCUACUUUUAUGCAACACAACAAGUUGAACAGCAAAGUAGUCUCUGGAAUAACUUUUGUAUUAUGUGUUUUUUUUUUAUCAACGUAUUGUGCUUUUAUCUUUCAAUAUUUUCGGUUCAAGAUGAAGUUUCAGUGAACUGCUAAUAAAUUAAUACUCUCUGUAGAAUUCAA